rnacentral:tRNA from 1 species
AAUAGCAUGCAUGCUUAAGCAACUGACUUUUAAUCAGUAGGUCUCGGGUUCGAACCCCGACGCUCUCACCA